UACGUAGGCAGCAAGCGUUGUUCGGAAUUACUGGGCGUAAAGCGUGUGUAGGCGGUGCUCUAAGUCUGUUGUGAAAUCCCUCGGCUUAACCGGGGAACUGCGUCUGAUACUGGACGGCUUGAGGUUGGGAGAGGGACGCGGAAUUCCAGGUGUAGCGGUGAAAUGCGUAGAUAUCUGGAGGAACACCGGUGGCGAAGGCGGCGUCCUGGACCAACACUGACACUGAGGAGCGAAAGCCAGGGGAGCAAACGGG
rnacentral:rRNA from 1 species